rnacentral:rRNA from 1 species
GGGGGGCUGGCGCGGCUUACACAUGCAGUCGAGCGGGGGAAGGUAGCUUGCUACUGGACCUAGCGGCGGACGGGUGACCUUUGCUUAGGAAUCUGCCUAUUAGUGGGGGACAACAUCUCGAAAGGGAUGCUAAUACCGCAUACGUCCUACGGGAGAAAGCAGGGGAUCUUCGGACCUUGCGCUAAUAGAUGAGCCUAAGUCGGAUUAGCUAGUUGGUGGGGUAAAGGCCUACCAAGGCGACGAUCUGUAGCGGGUCUGAGAGGAUGAUCCGCCACACUGGGACUGAGACACGGCCCAGACUCCUACGGGAGGCAGCAGUGGGGAAUAUUGGACAAUGGGCGCAAGCCUGAUCCAGCCAUGCCGCGUGUGUGAAGAAGGCCUUAUGGUUGUAAAGCACUUUAAGCGAGGAGGAGGCUACUUUAGAUAAUACCUAGAGAUAGUGGACGUUACUCGCAGAAUAAGCACCGGCUAACUCUGUGCCAGCAGCCGCGGUAAUACAGAGGGUGCAAGCGUUAAUCGGAUUUACUGGGCGUAAAGCGCGCGUAGGCGGCUAAUUAAGUCAAAUGUGAAAUCCCCGAGCUUAACUUGGGAAUUGCAUUCGAUACUGGUUAGCUAGAGUGUGGGAGAGGAUGGUAGAAUUCCAGGUGUAGCGGUGAAAUGCGUAGAGAUCUGGAGGAAUACCGAUGGCGAAGGCAGCCAUCUGGCCUAACACUGACGCUGAGGUGCGAAAGCAUGGGGAGCAAACAGGAUUAGAUACCCUGGUAGUCCAUGCCGUAAACGAUGUCUACUAGCCGUUGGGGCCUUUGAGGCUUUAGUGGCGCAGCUUACGCCAAUAAGUAGACCGCCUGGGGAGUACGGUCGCAAGACUAAAACUCAAAGGGAUUGACG